GAAUUCUAAAAACUGUUGAAGUCCAGGGCCUAUGACUAUCUUAUGUCUCUCCUGGGAUGAAGACACAUCACGGUGUUGGGCUGAAUCCUGCCUGGUGCAUCUGCAUGUUUAUUCUGGGAACCAGUUAACAGGGACAGCGAGGAGCAGCACUGACAAGCAACAGCUUUGGAGGAAGGCAGUCAUGUAUUUAAAAAGGAAAAGCCACCACGAAGAAGCCCACAAAAAAGCCACAUUAUUUAUUUUUCUGGGAGGUUAAAGUCGCAGCUGGGAGCGUAUCUGGGAGAAGGGAGGAGCAUGUAAGAACUGGAGUAUUCCCAGUGUGUUUCCACUGGCUGGCCCUGGGAUCUGCAG